rnacentral:misc_RNA from 1 species
UUUCCGUAGGUGAACCUGCGGAAGGAUCAUUACUGAGUGAGGGCCCUCUGGGUCCAACCUCCCACCCGUGUUUAUUAUACCUUGUUGCUUCGGUGAGCCCGCCUCACGGCCGCCGGGGGGCAUCUGCCCCCGGGCCCGCGCCACCGAAGACACCUAGAACUCUGUAUGAAGAUUGCAGUCUGAGCAAAAACUAAAUAAGUUAAAACUUUCAACAACGGAUCUCUUGGUUCCG